rnacentral:misc_RNA from 1 species
GAUGAAGAACGUAGCGAAAUGCGAUAAGUAGUGUGAAUUGCAGAAUUCAGUGAAUCAUCGAAUCUUUGAACGCACAUUGCGCCCCUUGGUAUUCCAUGGGGCAUGCCUGUUCGAGCGUCAUUUGUACCUUCAAGCUUUGCUUGGUGUUGGGUGUUUGUCUCGCCUUUGCGUGUAGACUCGCCUUAAAAUAAUUGGCAGCCGGCGUAUUGAUUUCGGAGCGCAGUACAUCUCGCGCUUUGCACUCAUAACGACAGCGUCCAAAAGUACAUUUUACACUCUUGACCUCGGAUCAGGUAGGGAUACCCGCUGAACUUAAGCAUAUCAAUAUGCGGAGGA